rnacentral:lncRNA from 1 species
UCGAAUUUUUUUUUCGAAUUUUGAGUUCGAAUCUUAUUGAGUUUUCGAAUUCGAAUAACUCGAAUAAUUCGAAUAAUUCGAAUAUCAAACUAUAAUAUUUUACAUUUUUACCCCAAACUCCCAAACCUUUUUACUUUUCCCUCAAAACUUUUAUUCCUUCCCACUUUCCCCCAAAAACUUUUACUCCCCUCCCCUCCCCUCCCAACCCCCCAAUCUACCCAAAAUUCAUUUCCCACCAAAAUUUUACUCUCCCAUUUAUUUUUUCUCAAAAUUUCACUCCCCAAAACCCUCAAAACCUUUUAUUUUCCCCCAAAAUUUUUACUCCCUCCCACUUUUCCCCUAAAACUUUUAUUCCCUUCCCAUCCCACCUCCCAUCUAUCCCAAACCCUUCCCCCUCCA